rnacentral:rRNA from 1 species
UACGUAGGCAGCGAGCGUUGUUCGGAGUUACUGGGCGUAAAGGGUGUGUAGGCGGCCUAUUAAGUUUGGUGUGAAAUCUCCCCGGCUCAACCGGGAGGGUGCGCCGAAAACUGGGAGGCUAGAGUGCGGGAUGGGAGAGUGGAAUUCCUGGUGUAGCGGUGAAAUGCGUAGAUAUCAGGAGGAACACCGGUGGUGCAGACGGCUCUCUGGACCGUAACUGACGCUGAGACACGAAAGCGUGGGUAGCAAACAGG